GAGUUUGAUCAUGGCUCAGGACGAACGCUGGCGGCGUGCCUAAUGCAUGCAAGUCGAGCGGGCUACGAUCUUCGGAUUGUAGCUUAGCGGCGAACGGGUGAGUAACACGUAGGUAAUCUACCCUUCAGAGGAGGACAACCUCAGGAAACUGAGGCUAAACCUUCAUGCGUUCACUGGUAGGGAUACUGGUGAAGAAAGAGUUACCUUAGUGGUAGCUGCUGAAGGAUGAGCCUGCGGCCCAUCAGGUAGUUGGUGAGGUAACGGCUCACCAAGCCGAAGACGGGUAACCGGUCUGAGAGGAUGUCCGGUUACACUGGGACUGAGACACGGCCCAGACUCCUACGGGAGGCAGCAGCAGGGAAUCUUGGGCAAUGGGCGAAAGCCUGACCCAGCGACGCCGCGUGGAGGAAGAAGUCCUUCGGGGCGUAAACUCCUGGACUGGGGGACGAGGAAGGACGGUACCCCAGUAGAAAGGGACGGCUAACUACGUGCCAGCAGCCGCGGUA
rnacentral:rRNA from 1 species